GACGAACGCUGGCGGCGUGCCUAAUACAUGCAAGUUGAGCGCUGAAGGUUGGUACUUGUACCAACUGGAUGAGCAGCGCACGGGUGAGUAACGCGUGGGGAAUCUGCCUUUGAGCGGGGGACAACAUUUGGAAACGAAUGCUAAUACCGCAUAAAAACUUUAAACACAAGUUUUAAGUUUGAAAGAUGCAAUUGCAUCACUCAAAGAUGAUCCCGCGUUGUAUUAGCUAGUUGGUGAGGUAAAGGCUCACCAAGGCGAUGAUACAUAGCCGACCUGAGAGGGUGAGCGGCCACAUUGGGACUGAGACACGGCCCAAACUCCUACGGGAGGCAGCAGUAGGGAAUCUUGGGCAAUGGACGAAAGUCUGACCGAGCAACGCCGAGGGAGUGAAGAAGGUUUUCGGAUCGUAAAACUCGGUUGGUAGAGAAGAACGUUGGUGAGAGUGGAAAGCUCAUCAAGUGACGGUAACUACCCAGAAAGGGACGGCUAACUACGUG
rnacentral:rRNA from 1 species